GGGUGAUUAGCUCAGUUGGUAGAGCGUCUGCCUUACAAGCAGAAUGUCGGCGGUUCGACUCUGUCAUCACCCA
rnacentral:tRNA from 1 species